rnacentral:rRNA from 1 species
AGAGUUUGAUCCUGGCUCAGAGUGAACGCUGGCGGCGUGCCUAAUACAUGCAAGUCGAACGAUGAAAUUUCUAGCUUGCUAGAAAUGGAUUAGUGGCGCACGGGUGAGUAACGCAUAGGUCAUGUGCCUCUUAGUUUGGGAUAGCCAUUGGAAACGAUGAUUAAUACCAGAUACUCCCUACGGGGGAAAGAUUUAUCGCUAAGAGAUCAGCCUAUGUCCUAUCAGCUUGUUGGUAAGGUAAUGGCUUACCAAGGCUAUGACGGGUAUCCGGCCUGAGAGGGUGAACGGACACACUGGAACUGAGACACGGUCCAGACUCCUACGGGAGGCAGCAGUAGGGAAUAUUGCUCAAUGGGGGAAACCCUGAAGCAGCAACGCCGCGUGGAGGAUGAAGGUUUUAGGAUUGUAAACUCCUUUUGUUAGAGAAGAUAAUGACGGUAUCUAACGAAUAAGCACCGGCUAACUCCGUGCCAGCAGCCGCGGUAAUACGGAGGGUGCAAGCGUUACUCGGAAUCACUGGGCGUAAAGAGCGCGUAGGCGGGAUAGUCAGUCAGGUGUGAAAUCCUAUGGCUUAACCAUAGAACUGCAUUUGAAACUACUAUUCUAGAGUGUGGGAGAGGUAGGUGGAAUUCUUGGUGUAGGGGUAAAAUCCGUAGAGAUCAAGAGGAAUACUCAUUGCGAAGGCGACCUGCUGGAACAUUACUGACGCUGAUUGCGCGAAAGCGUGGGGAGCAAACAGGAUUAGAUACCCUGGUAGUCCACGCCCUAAACGAUGGAUGCUAGUUGUUGGAGGGCUUAGUCUCUCCAGUAAUGCAGCUAACGCAUUAAGCAUCCCGCCUGGGGAGUACGGUCGCAAGAUUAAAACUCAAAGGAAUAGACGGGGACCCGCACAAGCGGUGGAGCAUGUGGUUUAAUUCGAGGAUACACGAAGAACCUUACCUAGGCUUGACAUUGAGAGAAUCCGCUAGAAAUAGUGGAGUGUCUAGCUUGCUAGACCUUGAAAACAGGUGCUGCACGGCUGUCGUCAGCUCGUGUCGUGAGAUGUUGGGUUAAGUCCCGCAACGAGCGCAACCCCCUUUCUUAGUUGCUAACAGGUCAUGCUGAGAACUCUAAGGAUACUGCCUCCGUAAGGAGGAGGAAGGUGGGGACGACGUCAAGUCAUCAUGGCCCUUACGCCUAGGGCUACACACGUGCUACAAUGGGGUGCACAAAGAGAAGCAAUACUGCGAAGUGGAGCCAAUCUUCAAAACACCUCUCAGUUCGGAUUGUAGGCUGCAACUCGCCUGCAUGAAGCUGGAAUCGCUAGUAAUCGCAAAUCAGCCAUGUUGCGGUGAAUACGUUCCCGGGUCUUGUACUCACCGCCCGUCACACCAUGGGAGUUGUGUUUGCCUUAAGUCAGGAUGCUAAAUUGGCUACUGCCCACGGCACACACAGCGACUGGGGUGAAGUCGUAACAAGGUAACCGUAGGUGAACCUGCGGUUG